GUGCUCACUUCGGUAGCACAUGUACUAAAACUGGAACAAUACAGAGAACAUUAACAUGGCCGCUGCGCAAGGAUGACACGCAAAUUCGUGAAGCAUUCCAUAUUUUU
rnacentral:snRNA from 1 species